CAGGACGAACGCUGGCGGCGUGCCUAACACAUGCAAGUCGAGCGGGGACGAUACGACGGAGUCAAAGUUUCGGAUGGAGACGAAGAUGUAUGUUCUAGCGGCGGACGGGUGAGUAACGCGUCGAGCAACCUUGCCCUUUUUACAGGGGAUAACACAGCGAAAGUUGUACUAAUACCGCAUGAGACCACGGGAGGACAUCCUCCAGGGGUCAAAGGAGCAAUCCGGUAAGGGGUGGGCUCGCGUCCGAUUAGAUAGUUGGUGAGGUAACGGCCCACCAAGUCGACGAUCGGUAGCCGACCUGAGAGGGUGAUCGGCCACAUUGGGACUGAGACACGGCCCAAACUCCUACGGGAGGCAGCAGUGGGGAAUAUUGGGCAAUGGGGGGAGACCCUGACCCAGCAACGCCGCGUGAGGGAAGAAGGUUUUCGGAUCGUAAACCUCUGUCCUUGGUGAAGAGGAAGAGACGGUAGCCAAGGAGGAAGCCCCGGCUAACUACGUGCCAGCCGCAGC
rnacentral:rRNA from 1 species